rnacentral:rRNA from 1 species
GGAAUCUUCCACAAUGGGCGAAAGCCUGAUGGAGCAAUGCCGCGUGAGUGAUGAAGGUUUUCGGAUCGUAAAGCUCUGUUGCCAGGGAAGAACGUCCGGGUGAGUAACUGCACCCGGAGUGACGGUACCUGAGAAGAAAGCCCCGGCUAACUACGUGCCAGCAGCCGCGGUAAUACGUAGGGGGCAAGCGUUGUCCGGAAUUAUUGGGCGUAAAGCGCGUGCAGGCGGCGGGUUAAGUCGGAUGUUUAAGAUCGGGGCUCAACCCCGAUUCGCAUCCGAAACUGGCCCGCUUGAGUGUAGGAGAGGAAAGUGGAAUUCCACGUGUAGCGGUGAAAUGCGUAGAGAUGUGGAGGAACACCAGUGGCGAAGGCGACUUUCUGGCCUAUAACUGACGCUGAGGCGCGAAAGCGUGGGGAGCAAACAGGAUUAGAUACCCCUG